AGCUUUAUGUAAUUACUUAAAGUAACUCCUGCUCAGUGAAAAUAAACAGCCGCAGAAUUUUAUACUGUGCUAAGGUAGCAUAAUCACUUGUCUUUUAAUUAAAGAAUAGAAUGAACGGAAAAACGAAUUUUAGUCUGUUUCAUUUAUUUACAAUAAAAUUACCAAAAAGUAAAAACACUUUUUUUAAAAAAAAAGACGAUAAGACCCUAAAGAACUUAACUAAAGUUAAGCUGGGGCGGCUUUUUAAAAAAAUCUUAAUUAAUAUUUUUUACACCUUUUUAAAUUUUUCAAUGUUACCUUAGGGAUAACAGCAUAAUCUAAUUUUAUAGCUCUUAUUCAAAAUUAAGAUUAUGACCUCGAUGUUGAAUUAAAAUUCUUCUAACCGAAAAAAAUUAGUAAGAAAGUCUGNUCGACUAUUAAAUAUUUACA
rnacentral:rRNA from 1 species